AUUGAACGCUGGCGGCAUGCCUUACACAUGCAAGUCAAACGGUAACAGGUCUUCGGAUGCUGACGAGUGGCGAACGGGUGAGUAAUACAUCGGAACGUGCCUAGUAGUGGGGGAUAACUACUCGAAAGAGUGGCUAAUACCGCAUGAGAUCUACGGAUGAAAGCAGGGGAUCGCAAGACCUUGUGCUACUAGAGCGGCCGAUGGCAGCUUAGGUAGUUGGUGGGAUAAAAGCUUACCAAGCCGACGAUCUGUAGCUGGUCUGAGAGGACGAUCAGCCGCACUGGGACUGAGACACGGCACAGACUCCUACGGGAGGCAGCAGUGGGGAAUUUUGGACAAUGGGCGCAAGCCUGAUCCAGCAAUGCCGCGUGCAGGAUGAAGGCCUUCGGGUUGUAAACUGCUUCUGUACGGAACGAAAAGCCCCGGGUUAAUACCCUGGGGUCAUGACGGUACCGUAAGAAUAAGCACCGGCUAACUACGUGCCAGCCGCCGCGGUAA
rnacentral:rRNA from 1 species